rnacentral:lncRNA from 1 species
UGUCAAAUGGAGAUUAAAAAAUCACGAAAUAAUUAAAUCGGAACCAACAAAUAAUGCAUGAGUGUCAGUGCAAGAGAACCGGCUCAUUGUAAGAAAGCCCAAGAGUAAGCUAUGUGAGGUCGACGGCGAUGCUUAAAAAGCAAUCGACUUACAAGGGUGUGAAAAAAGGGGCUCGAUAUUAAAUCGAGAAAAUAUGAUUUUUAUAAGUUAAAAAAAUGGUUUCAAAUGCAUGAUGCAAUUAAAAGACAAAUCAAAUUAUUAAACAACAAUAAAUGAAUAAAAAGAAAUAAAUAUGAAUAAUAAAGCCUAAAUAUAAUAAAAGAAAGAAAAACUACACCUAGGAGUAUCGAACCCACUACCCUAAAGAUCUAG